rnacentral:miRNA from 2 species
AAGUGCUUCCAUGUUUCAGUGG